rnacentral:rRNA from 1 species
CCCGAGUUGUAAUUUGUAGAGGAUGCUUUUGGUGAGGUGCCUUCCGAGUUCCCUGGAACGGGACGCCAUAGAGGGUGAGAGCCCCGUCUGGUUGGACGCCGAACCUCUGUAAAGCUCCUUCGACGAGUCGAGUAGUUUGGGAAUGCUGCUCUAAAUGGGAGGUAUAUGUCUUCUAAAGCUAAAUACCGGCCAGAGACCGAUAGCGCACAAGUAGAGUGAUCGAAAGAUGAAAAGAACUUUGAAAAGAGAGUUAAACAGUACGUGAAAUUGUUGAAAGGGAAGCGCUUGUGACCAGACUUGGGCUUGGUUGAUCAUCCGGGGUUCUCCCCGGUGCACUCUUCCGGCCCAGGCCAGCAUCAGUUCGCCCUGGGGGACAAAGGCUUCGGGAACGUGGCUCUCUCCGGGGAGUGUUAUAGCCCGUUGCGUAAUACCCUGUGGCG